CUCCAGCAUCUUCACGUGAGAAACCUUGAAGAUCAUGAUUAAUUUGCGAUUGAAGCAAGUCAAGUAUAAAAAGGGUUUAUUAUGGAACAUACUGAGGCACAUAUUGUGGAUUUUAUAAAGUGUCAAGGUAAAAAGCCAGUAGUGGUAAAG